AGUGAACGCUGGCGGUAGGCCUAACACAUGCAAGUCGAACGGCAGCACAGUAAGAGCUUGCUCUUACGGGUGGCGAGUGGCGGACGGGUGAGGAAUACAUCGGAAUCUACUUUUUCGUGGGGGAUAACGUAGGGAAACUUACGCUAAUACCGCAUACGACCUACGGGUGAAAGCAGGGGAACUUCGGACCUUGCGCGAUUGAAUGAGCCGAUGUCGGAUUAGCUAGUUGGCGGGGUAACGGCCCACCAAGGCGACGAUCCGUAGCUGGUCUGAGAGGAUGGUCAGCCACACUGGAACUGGGACACGGUCCAGACUCCUACGGGAGGCAGCAGUGGGGAAUAUUGGACAAUGGGCGCAAGCCUGGUCCAGCCAUACCGCGUGGGUGAAGAAGGCCUUCGGGUUGUAAAGCCCUUUUGUUGGGAAAGAAAAGCAGCAGGUUAAUACCCCGCUGUUCUGACGGUACCCAAAGAAUAAGCACCGGCUAACUUCGUG
rnacentral:rRNA from 1 species